AGCGAUAAAAGUUGGCGACCCUUAUCUUCUUCUCUAUCAUAAAUAGUAAAAAAGAGGGAGCCACUGCAAACGAAACAGCUUUGGAUCGACUAUUGGUGAAUCAGGCCUGUUCCGUAUGCUGAAGUUUUUGACGCAUUCUUGAUCUAUUGGUAACUCAUGAAUCCCAUCGUAAUAAACAGGCUUCAGCGAAAGCUGGGCUACACUUUUCAAC
rfam:Serratia sp. Leaf50 contig_4, whole genome shotgun sequence.